rnacentral:rRNA from 1 species
GAUGAACGCUGGCGGCGUGCCUAAUACAUGCAAGUCGAGCGAACGGACGAUAAGCUUGCUCCUCUGCUGUUAGCGGCGGACGGGUGAGUAACACGUGGAUAACCUACCUAUAAUACUGGGAUAACUUCGGGAAACCGUAUCUAAUACCGGAUAAUAUUUUGAACGGCAUGGUUCAAAAGUGAAUGACGGUCUUGCUGUCACUUAUAGCUGGAUCCGCGCUGCAUUAGCUAGUUGGUAAGGUAACGGCUUACCAAGGCAACGAUGCAUAGCCGACCUGAGAGGGUGAUCGGCCACACUGGAACUGAGACACGGUCCAGACUCCUACGGGAGGCAGCAGUAGGGAAUCUUCCGCAAUGGGCGAAAGCCUGACGGAGCAACGCCGCGUGAGUGAUGAAGGUCUUCGGAUCGUAAAACUCUGUUAUUAGGGAAGAACAUAUGUGUAAGUAACUGUGCACAUCUUGACGGUACCUAAUCAGAAAGCCACGGCUAACUACGUG